rnacentral:tRNA from 1 species
GCCGGGAUAGCUCAGUUGGUAGAGCAGAGGACUGAAAAUCCUCGUGUCCCAGUUCAAAUCUGGUUCUUGGCA